rnacentral:rRNA from 1 species
CCUACGGGAGGCAGCAGUGAGGAAUAUUGGUCAAUGGACGCAAGUCUGAACCAGCCAUGCCGCGUGCAUGAAGACGGCUCUAUGAGUUGUAAACUGCUUUUGUACGAGGGUAAACGCAGAUACGCGUAUCUGUCUGAGAGUAUCGUACGAAUAAGGAUCGGCUCACUCCGUACCAGCAGCCGCGGUAAUACGGAGGAUUCAAGCGUUAUCCGGAUUUCAGGGGUUUAAAGGGUGCGUAGGGGGUCGGAUAAGUUAGAGGUGAACUCCCGGGGCUCAACUUCGGAAUUGCCUCUGAUCCUGUGCGGCUAGAGUAGUUGCGGUAGGCGGAAUGUAUGGUGUAGCGGUGAAAUGCUUAGAGAUCAGACAGAACACCGAUUGCGAAGGCAGCUUACCAAGCUACUUCUGACGUUGAGGCACGAAAGCGUGGGGAGCAAACAGGAUUAGAUACCCGAGUAGUC